rnacentral:rRNA from 1 species
AUCAUUACCGAGUGAAGGGCUCCGGCCCGACCUCCAACCCUUUGUGAUUACCGAAACCUCGUUGCCUCGGGGGCGACCCGGCCUCACGGGCGGGGCCCCCGGCGGACCACUCAACCCUGCAUCUCUGCGUCUGAGUACAAUAUUGAAUUGAAUCAAAACUUUCAACAACGGAUCUCUUGGUUCUGGCAUCGAUGAAGAACGCAGCGAAAUGCGAUAAGUAAUGUGAAUUGCAGAAUUCAGUGAAUCAUCGAAUCUUUGAACGCACAUUGCGCCCCUUGGUAUUCCGGGGGGCAUGCCUGUUCGAGCGUCAUUACACCACUCAAGCCUGGCUUGGUAUUGGGCGUCGCGGCUCCCGCGCGCCUCAAUGUCUCCGGCGGGGUCGUCCACCUCUUAAGCGUUGUGACACAAUCUCAUCCGCUUCGGGAGUGUGGCCGGCUCGUCGCCGUUAAACAUUAUCUCAGGUUGACCUCGGAUCAGG